rnacentral:rRNA from 1 species
UACGUAGGGUGCAAGCGUUGUCCGGAAUUAUUGGGCGUAAAGAGCUCGUAGGCGGUUUUGUCGCGUCUGCUGUGAAAACUCGGGGCUUAACUCCGGGCCUGCAGUGGGUACGGGCAGACUAGAGUGCGGUAGGGGAGACUGGAAUUCCUGGUGUAGCGGUGAAAUGCGCAGAUAUCAGGAGGAACACCGAUUGCGAAGGCAGCUCGCUGGGACGUACUGACGCUGAGACGCGAAAGCGUGGGGAGCAAACGGG